AACGUACAGAAAACAUGGCGACGAUGUAGGAGAGCACUCUUACCUGAGUAGGCAAACACUUUCAGAGUGUACAUCAAAUAUCGCAAACGUUUUGUAGCUAGUUCAACUAAGUUAUGACUACUGGAGCGGUAUUAUUCAUAUUAGUUCAAAUAAACCAUGACCGACAAGAGAAACGUCGGUGUGCGACAUAUAUUAGACGCGAGAGAAAGUCGGAGCAGAACUCUCAAACUUACCGAGAAGAAAACAAAGACACGAAUGAUCGGACUCAAACAGUCACAGUCUCCGUAUAAUCACACUUCAUACAACUGUCGCAAAGAUUUUACAACCCCAAAACGUCGACCAAGAAUCAGAUUCAACGGUUGUUACAGCGGAGAUUCGCCUAAUGAGACUGAACCCCCGCAAGACAUCAUCUGGGAUCCCAACUCACCCACGCAAAGCUUGAAUGGAGGAGGAGAUGCAAAAGUCAUUGAGAUAUCAGAAAUUGUCAAAAGGAUUGCACCAAAAGUUGAGAAGUCUAAAGAAGGGGACUCAGUGCUCCAGUGGAUUGGAGACAGUGCCAUACCCUGCACUCCAGAGAUCAGACAGCCCAGAGUCAGGAGGAUCUCAGCGCGGCAGAGCAGUGUUGAGGACCUCAAGAAACUUGCUAAGCAGUUUGACAUCAAUAUGACUCGUCAGGACAAAGAGAAACAACAGGAGAGCACAGAAAAAAGAAAUAAACUCAAUAAGCUACAAAGUGAUCGUACAGUGACAACGGAAAGACCAACAUCUAUCCCGAUCUCGUCGGAAAAACUAACUGGAUGCUCGUCUCUAGCCCGCCAAGAAGAGGAGGAGCUUCAGGCACUGUUUGAUGGUCCCACACAGCACGUAAGUGGGAGACUGAGCCCACCAUCAGUAAACUGCACACCAGAAAGCAGUACUGAACCUGUAGCGCAGGCUGGACAGAGGUCAUGUUCUGCAACAACCAAAAACGCUCCUGUAGAUGCACCUAAAGCCACUGAGGUGAAGUUUGAUGAUGACUGGGAAAAUGAUGACCUUCUGAAUGACUUGUUUGUGUUGGAAAUGACCCAGAACCCAGUGCCUUUGAACGUAGCUCAGAAACCAAGCACUGCUCAGCCUGAGUCUUGCUCUAAGAAAUGUAAUUUUGAGGACAGUGUUAAUCCCUCUGUAUCUAAUGGCAGAAUCAUAUGCUUUCAAACUCAACAGAGCACCAGCAAAUGCAGCACCUUUACCAAGACACUUCCUGGUGUCAAAACAUCUAAUCGAAGCACUUUUACAUUGAAGCCACCUGCUUCUGCUCAGAAUCAUACUACUGAGAAGCUGGUGAAGACUUCACCUGUGAUCCAAGAAAAAAAGCAAACACAGCCAUCCCAGGGCACAGGACAAGUAGAGCUUGAUAAAAUGACCAAAGAUUGUGGAGUUUCAAGUCAGACCUCUUCUGCUCAGUUUGACGGGGUUUCAGAGGAGGACAUGAAGUCUCUGUUUGAUUCCGAUGGUCUGUGGAAUGACGAAGACGACGACGAUCUCCUUUUUCAGGCUUGCGAUGAUGUGGAAAAGUUAUCAGCCAGUCAAGAACAGCAAAGACUCAGCGAAAAGUACAAAAAUCUUGCACAUGACAAAUCAAGAAGCUUUGCAUCUAAAGCACCUUCCUCUUCUGACACUGUUUGUUCUCAGAACAUGGGCAUCAACAGCAGGGGCCAACCACGAGAACCCACACGUGCAUUUGCUCGCUCAAACUCGGUACCGUGUACAAGUAGCAGCUCUGGAUUUAAACAGGGAUACGGUGUGUUAUCGACAACUAAAAGUUCCAGCUCUGUAUUGGGGAGUCAUAGUGCUCAGCAAUAUGGACAUGCACAAAACCAAUCGAGUCAUGUAGGAUCCAGGCCUGGUUCUGCCAGAUCCAUGGGCACCUCACAGACUGUUGUGCCACACAGAGCAACAGUAGGAAAUACUUCUAACUCCCACCAUUACACGUUCAAAAGACAUCUGUCUGACUCCAUGACGCUAACCGACAAAGUAGUAAAGCAGAAAAGAUGAUCCGUUCACAUGCGCUUCGCACUGCAGCUUCGCUUGAUCUGAGGCGCUACAGCGAUCUGUCACGGCACAUUAAAGAGUGCCAACACGUUUUUAUUUCUUCCCAUACGACAGCCAAAUGUUCGGCUGCUGAGAUUGAGAGGAAGAAACAGGAAGCGAUUGCGAGAAGGAGAUCACGGAUGCAGGCUAGCCAAAAAAAUGGAACGCCUACAUAGGACGCUACAGAGGAGCUCGUACUGUACUGAAUGUCAGGGAUGUUCUGGCCAGUAAAGAACUAAAUUAUCUGAUUAUGACACGAUUGCAAUGAAGGCUGGCAAGCAUAUAGCCUGGAGAUCUUAGUCAGUCCUCCAAAUCCAUUACUAAUUUAGAGUUGAACACUAAUUUGUCUCUUUGAAAGAAAUGUUACUUGAAGAUUUCUCAUGCUUUUCUGAAUAAUGUACUGCAGUGUCAUAUCUGUCUAACUGCCAAACUAAAUGGCUUGAGUUACAAAAAAAGCCAUUUCUCGCACAUUACGGUUCCGUUAUUACAACCCAGUAUUGUCAGUAAAAUUAAUGGCUGAUGUCUGCAAGUCUUCACACUUUUUUUUUUUUUCAACAUUUGAUGAAGCAUUUCCAACCAUGUGUCAUCUGAAUCGUGAAAGAAAAGGAACAUAGACUGUGGAUUAUGUCUUAUUUUAUAUGCAGUUACAAAUAUGAGGUCACUUUCAGUUGGUCAAAGGAUUGGCUCUAGUCUUCUGAUCAUAGUCUUUACCUGUUGUUAAUGGGGAAAAAAUACUUGAAUUUUCGUCAAUCAAGCUAAAGGUCCUGGAGAUCUUUUUCUUUGUUGUCUUUAUGUUCCAUAUUUUUCUGUUAAACACAAUUGUGUCAGUAUUAAAAGAAGCCAACAUAUUGUUGCUUCCAAAAGUCUCUAUUAAAACAUUUUGAACGUU